GAUGAAGAACGCAGCGAAAUGCGAUAAGUAGUGUGAAUUGCAGAAUUCAGUGAAUCAUCGAAUCUUUGAACGCACAUUGCGCCCCUUGGUAUUCCAUGGGGCAUGCCUGUUCGAGCGUCAUUUGUACCUUCAAGCUUUGCUUGGUGUUGGGUGUUUGUCUCGCCUUUGCGUGUAGACUCGCCUUAAAAUAAUUGGCAGCCGGCGUAUUGAUUUCGGAGCGCAGUACAUCUCGCGCUUUGCACUCAUAACGACAGCGUCCAAAAGUACAUUUUACACUCUUGACCUCGGAUCAGGUAGGGAUACCCGCUGAACUUAAGCAUAUCUAAGCGGAGGA
rnacentral:misc_RNA from 1 species